rnacentral:rRNA from 1 species
UACAGAGGGUGCGAGCGUUAAUCGGAAUUACUGGGCGUAAAGCGUGCGUAGACGGUUACGUAAGUCGGGUGUGAAAGCCCCGGGCUCAACCUGGGAAUUGUAUUCGAGACUGCGUAGCUAGGGUGCGGAAGAGGGAAGCGGAAUUUCCGGUGUAGCGGUGAAAUGCGUAGAUAUCGGAAGGAACAUCAGUGGCGAAAGCGGCUUCCUGGUCCAGCACCGACGUUCAGGCACGAAAGCGUGGGGAGCAAACAGG